GACAAGAUGGCCGAGUGGUCUAAGGCGUGUGACUCAAGCGGAAAGCUUGCCAGCGGAGGCUGGUCUUCUCAUAGCGAAAGCUGCGUGGGUUCGAAUCCCACUCUUGUCA
rfam:Phanerochaete carnosa HHB-10118-sp unplaced genomic scaffold PHACAscaffold_7, whole genome shotgun sequence.